AUGAAAGAAGAUUUAAAGCGGGACGUACCUCUCUGGGGAGGCAGCUUUGGGCAUCAAGAUGCUCUGCAGAAAGGCUGAGGAGGAGAUUGAAGUCCGGGAGAAAGAAGAAGUGAAGCCAGCCAGGCUCCACCCUCACAGGGGCAGGGAUGCAAGCUUCUUUUGCCUUUGACCUGAGUCGGUUACCUAAGCUUCCAUUUUCCUCACCAGAAGAGACCUCCUCCAGAUACCACUGGUGGAACAAUUUCCUUCUACACCUGAAACCUUCAAUCAGAGGAUGGAAAGCAACAUCUACAGUCAGAAGAGAAGUGCUCUGAUCUCAACAUCAAACAAGAAUUCAGAGUGCCAAUGUCAGAAGCCAUGAAAAAUUCUCAGAAUUACACAGCUGUACUCUUCCUGAUACCUUGAUUGUAGUCUUUGCUCUGUCUACAGCAGGGCCAUAGCCGGAGGCGUGGGGUUAAGAUUUCAAAAUGCCCUCAAAAUGUGUCAGGCUAAAAUAAAUCCUGGUUUAUUCAUAAAUUUGUUAACCAGUUAAAAUUCAUGAGUAAAACAGGUUUGGGGUGUGUGUGUGAACUCUUUCAGGGGGGGUUAAACCAUUAAUCCCCCCCGCCCAGCUAUGACCCUGUCUGCAGGGAAUGGUUUGAGUCACACAGCAGAGCCUCUAUCUUUCUUGCGGACUUCAUGGCCCUCUCCUUCAACUUUUCUUUCUUCUCUGAAGUCGACAUGAUCUGCUGAAUCAAAGGAGGACUCAGCAAGCAAUCAGCUAUCUGCCCGUCCACUGGCAUCUUCAGAGAGAAAUGAACUUUCAAGGAAGGAGAGAUGACAUCAUUUCCCUCACCAUGGCUCUCUUCCACAAAUCAGAGGGGUCCCAAUUUCACUGGAUAGCAUUGGUUGAAUUGAUAGCACCAAGUCUGGAGCAUGGACAUUGGAGACAUCAUGCCAAGACCAUUCCUCCAGCCCACAUCCAGUCCAAUCCACCAAGUACUGUAGGUGACCACUGUGAUAGAAAGCAUCCAUGAUCUUGGCCACCUCAUAUUCUUCCUUAUCAUCCACUAUGAUCAAGGGUAAGAGAGCUUUGGGGUCCUGGGAAGGAUUUGCCGAAGUAAUAAUAAUAAUAAUAAUAAUAAUAAUAAUAAUAAUAAUAAUAAUAAUAAUGCUUUAUUCAUACCCGGCCACCAUUUCCCCUAGGGGACUCGGGGCAGCUUACAUGGGGCAGAGUCCGAACAAUACAAUCAAGUAAAAACAGCAUACAUACAAUUCACAGUAUAACAAGAUAAAAAACAAAAUACAAUAUAAAACAGAGAUAAUAGUUAAUAAUAUCAGUGAACCACCAAAUACAGUUCUGUCAUCUACAUAGGUGGAGGAACUGAAACAUCUAUGCAAGAGUACAAUGAUGAGAUAAAAUGCAUAGAUAAUAAAACUAGGGGCCUAAUAAAAUACUGGAUAAUACCAUCUGGGGUUGAUUAUCUAAUGCUUGUCUCACCAAAGGCCAACCGAAACAUCCAAGUCUUUAGUUGUUUCCUGAAGGAAGAUAGCGAGGGAGCUAACCUAAUCUCCCUAGGGAGGGAGUUCCAGAGUGGGGGGCUAGAGCCAGGAGGGACCAAUGGAAUCUCAGGUAUCUGGGUAGAGGUGGAGGAAGUUGGAAGGGAAUCAGAAAUCCUGAAUCAUAAGGUGAAGGGUUUAAAAUAGAAGAAAAUGCUCUGUAGCCUGACUAUUAUGGCACUGGUAUUGGUACAUAACAUUCAUUGGUAGGGGCCCUGGCAGAUUGCAACAAUGCAGAAGUCUAUACCACAUUGGCUAGCCAGUUAUGACUUUGAAAUUAAAUUGGGCUAAGAACUGUGACUAUAGUAUUGGUUGCUGAUUCAGCUGGUGAGCUGUCUUGCAGCCAUCACUGUGAAGUUCUAUUGGAUGUGUAGUGACUUCCAACAAAUACCUUCAUGUUGCAAAGGCUGCCUUAAUAGCUAACAACUCCUUAUCCCAUAUGAUGUAAUUCGUUCAGGUUUGAGUCUGCUGCUACAGCUGCAAAUACCACCAUCGAUUCUAUUCAUAUACUAGCCUAUCAAGAAUGUUAUUCAUUAUAUAUGUGACAUUUGACAUUCACUUCAAAAUGGGGAGGUAAGGGUUUCCCGUUCUUUUUGGCAAUAUCACCCACAAUUUCCAUAGCUUUGCCAUUCUAACCUCGAAAAAGCAGCCAUCUGGGAGAUUCGGGAAAGCACCUAAAGGAAUCAAGGCAGCAGAAUAGCAAAGGGUCCUAUUCCAGAGGACAAGCCUGUAGCAGAGAGACUCACAGGGUAAAAUCAUCACAGCAGCUAGUAAUACAGACGUGCUUGUAUUUCAGCCGUCUCAAUUUAUUCCAUUUGUGUUAAAACAAACUGCUGAUCUCCAAUAGUGCAUCAAAACAGAUCUAUAAUUGGUCCUUUAUUGGGGCCGGGGCCAGGCAAUCUUAUGCUGAGGCAUUCAGAUAAACACAACUUACCAUGUGACCUCAUAUACAUAGUUGGUUGGAAGUUGCCUGGCUCUGUCAAGUCCUCAUCUGAAUUAAACCUAAACUACUCCCUGGCUGUUGCCUCACAUUUAGAAUAUUAACACUAUUAUGAUGGCUGAUGGUAUUGGAUCUGUUCCUGAGACAUGGUAUCCUCUUAAGGACUUGUGUAAUCCUCAACCAGCCUUGCAUGGUGACAAACUUCCUCUAAAUACUGCCUUUUAUCUUCUGUAUAACAGAGGAAAAGUUAGUGUGGCAUAAUUGUCUGAGUAUUGAGUUAGAACUCAGCAACCAGGGUUUGAAUUCCUGCUUAGCCAAGAAAACCCAAUGGGUAACCUUGGGAAUCCACACUCUGAGUCUCAAAAGAACACAACUGUAGCAAAUUGUCUGAAGAAUAUUUCCAAAAAUAAACCUUAAGGUUCCCAUAAAUCAGCUAUGGCAUGAAGGCACAAAGUAGCAAUGAAGCUAGAAGGACAGCAAUGAUGUUAUCACUUUGGACCUUCAGAAGACUUCCGGUAGGUUCCAGACUAUGCCCCAGACAGGAAUAUAACUACAACCAAUAAAAGGUUGGCUGCCUGUUCAUGGUGCUUUCAAGCAACUGAGAUCCAUGGCUCUUUUUUGCUAUGUAGGCCCAUCAUUUCACAGUUUGUUCUGAGGUUCAGUUUCUUGGCUCCAGAAUGUAGACGAAAUAAGAGACUGGAGCUUUUAAGGCCAUCUUACCAGUAAUAGAGCAAAAUUAGAAAAGUUGGCAGAGUGACAGCAAGUUGAAUCCACCACCAAUAAGGAAUUGCAUAAUCCAAAGCAUCGAGGAUCAGGAGACCAACAGCAAAUGUCGUUUGAGAGAGAAUGGCCACAGUUCUCCGGUAGCUUGCACCAACAAUUUCUGUGACUGCAAAAAUAAAGGAAUUGUUUCCACAUUAAUAUAGUCAUACCAGAGUAAUAGAAUACAGAUUAAUCUUAGGGUUGAUGUUAGAAAGAAAGAGGGCUGUGUGUUUUGAAAGUAUGAUCAAGGUGGUCAUAGUUGUUUCAAGUACUGAACAACUUUAGUAACGGAAGACGUGUUUUGUAUUUCAGCUUAAAAAGAUAAAACUAUAGCUAUACAGUAACAAAGGGGUCCCUUCUUUUACCUUUCAUAUUUUCAGUAAUAUUUAAGUAGUUGGUAGAAGAGGGAAGUUAUUACUAAGGCCUAAAGCCAGCUCGUGCAACCAAACUUUCUUCCCCUCUAUUCUGUGCCAGUCAAAAGCACCUCUGUAGCUUUUCAGAGCACAUUUUGGGGAGUACCGUAUGUUGGGGUGAGUACAGGAAAAAUAAAUGAAAAUGGGCAGUGGCCCAUGACUAGGUUUAAGGAUAGGGUGAUGAUUGGUAAAAAUAUAAUGUGCAUAUGAGCAGUGCAGGUUUCAAAAUAAUUCAAAUACCUCUUUUUGUAAAAUUAUUAAUCUAUUUUGUUCUGAUAAGAGAUCUGUGGAGACUGCUUUUUCAGUUUGAUGCUGAGCAUGCUGGGCUUUACAGUUCCUUGAAGUUGUAUUCUGGAAUAUUAACCUGCAUUAUUUCCACAAUACAUGAUAGCUGGAGCUUGCCAUUAUGGUGACAGGUGGCUUUUUGCAGCCACUGGCAUCAAAUUAUUGUGAUGCUGUUGUGUGAAACCAUAAUUUCAGGUAGGCAGUGAAACUCUGCUCUCCCACUCUGUUGCUUUCCCUCCUUGCUUUAUACAGAUGGGGAAAAUGUUUUUACAGUGAGGGGAGUGCAACAUUUAGUUUUCUGGCAGCAUUAUCUUUUCUUUUAAUUUGAUAGCUACUGUUUGUGGCACUUCAACAAGUUGGGAAUCCAAUAUGACCAGAGACUUGCACAGAACAAAAAAGGCAAGCGCAUGCAAGGAUGGCUUCCUUAUACAACCUGCAACUGGAGAAGCAACCCAAGGUAUUUUGCAGCCUGAAAGAAAGAAGCAAAUAGCCACCUCCGUCCCUUGCCCUUAGGACAAGGGACAUAAUUUGCCAAGCUUUUUGAGCACAAGAGGCAGAGAAAUUCCAGAAAAGGAUCUCUCAUCUGUAUUCCUCAUAUUAAAAUAUUUUUUAAAUCAGGAAAAUAAUACUAAAAAUGUGCUCCUCUCCCACAACACCCAACUCUGUUGCCUGGCCUCCCAUCUUGCCUAAUGGUAGGACUGGCCCUGUAGAAUUCUCUGAAAAUGAACUAUCAUUUUCCCAGUGUCCCUAGAAUGUUGAUUCACUAAUUGGGCAUCACAUCACAUUCUUUCAUUUUCAGCAAUACCAUCCUCAGGGAAAGGGCUAGAGGUACUAAGGAUGUAGCCUGCUGUCCAGCUCCCCUUGCCAACGAGUCCUUGCAUGAAGCGGAAUAUGACAGUCCAUAUGUAGUUUGGUGUACAGCCACUAAGACUCCUGUGAUAGGUGUAACCAGGGUGGUAAUCAAGAUGCUUGUCUUACGGCCAAACCUGGAAAAUGGGAAAUGACAAAUGAAAAAGAUACCAUUUUGAAAAUAUACAUGUAAAAGUCACACAAAUGGCAUUUAACUUCAUUCUGUGAAUCCUAAAUGCUUUUCUUUCUGUGGACUCUUAUGAAGAUGUCAAGGGUGAUUGUCUCUGUUAUUAGAUUUUGCUACCCUGUUUUCAAAAGCAGCAAAAGGUUCUUGCAUAUUGGGAGUUAAAAAUAUAUAAGCUGGGUUUCCAGUUUCUAGAACAAGCAUUUUGAUUGCUCAGAAUAAACACACCUGUAUGGACACCAAGAGCCCAAUCACACUAUAGUAUUAUUGCCCUAUUAUUUCAAUGGGUUUCAUCCUAUAGUCCUAGUGAUAAGAGGUACAUUUAGCAUUCUCAGCCAAAGCACUAGAUUAUAAAUCAAAAGAUUUAUAGGACGGAACACUGGCUAUUUAAGUGGAAUAGUAACCCUAACGGUAUAGCGUGAAGCCUCCUCAGAUAGCCACUGCAACAAUGGUUUUCUCUGAAAAUCUUAGAGAACUAGCAGUGAUAUCUUUUAAAAAUUAAAUUGAGAAUAUAUGAAAUAAAUUUUCCCAGUAUUUGCUGUCAUGGGUUAUUAUAUGUCAAGAAAACUUUGAUAACAUCACAAAACUACAGCUAUACCGCAGUUAAUAAAACACAUGAGUUCCUGGGCACUUUUUCUUUAUCAGAAACUUUGUAUCAGAGGCAGAAAUAACAUGAAAGGAAAUCAGAUAACUUCCUACACCACAAAAAAGAAGAAAGGUUUAAUGUGUUUCAGCAAAUUUACCCAAUGAUUUUCAUUUUUAACUACAUUGAAUGUAGCUGGAGAGGUAAUUUUAUCUACUCUCUCAUUUUUUCUGUUUUGCUCUUUAUGCAUGCUCAGUAUGGGAUUCUCGAGGCAGCUGCUGUAUAAAUUGCCUGUUGUAAUGAUGCAAGCACAACUAAAAUAGGAUUGCCUGAAGUAGAAUCACAUUUAUUCCCAACUUGAGCUUUAUUCCAUUUUGUUGCAAACACACUAGUGCAAUCUGAUAUUGAAAGUACAGUAUGUGUUUUUCCACACUCUUUCACCAUCCUCCCAAUACCAAUGUAGCUAAAAAAAUAACAUCCAACUGGAAAGCAGGUGAGAAGGAAUGGGGGUUAGACACUUAAAAAAAGAAUUUAUAAAAAGGAGCUUACUUGGCCAAAGUAUCUUUUAGUAUCCUUUACCCUUCUCUAAAGUACAACAUAGAUAGACAAUUUAAGCAAAUUUGAUCUGGAACUGAUUCCGUCCUUCUCUGCUUACCUGUCUGCUACAUAACCAACAUAUAUAGACCCAAGGCAAAAUCCAACAUUCACACAUGCCUGAAACACAUCUAGCUUCUAGGAGUAUUUACACACCAAGUCAAACUGUAGAGACACAAUUGGAAAGAAAAUAAUGAUAAGUGUUCAUCAUUAGCAAAUUGAGUCACCCAUGUUAUAGAGAAAUUUGCUAUGCACCUGAAAUCCAUUCCCAUAUUAAAUAGCAACACAGGAACACUUUUUACACACAGAAUGUCUGACAACUUCUUUUUCCAUACAUAAUUUUAAAGGAGCUGUUGUACAAGUUUGGCAUCCCCUAUCUGAAAUUCCAAAAUCUAGAAUAUUCCAAAUUUCAGAUUCUCCUUGUUGGAAGUUGAGAUAGUGAUACUUACGGUUACAUGCACAAACAUAUUUUAAAAUCACAUAAAAUUACCAAAAGGCGAUGUUCAUAUGUGAAGUUUGUUUCUAAAAGGUACCAAAUAAACAAUUGAAACAUGAUUUUUAGGUGACAGCACAUUUUUGGUAAGAAGUAGAAUAUUAUAUGUACAGAUUAAAACUAUCAGAAUGUAUCAAAUCGCUUGAGUACAGAACUUGGAAAAUUUAAUAGCAAAAGAAUGCAUAUCCUCAGCAUAUUUUUUAUUCCUGUAAAAUUUGAUCAGGUGGAUUUGGUAUCUUUUGGAAACAAGGUCCACAGAUAUAAAACAUUCAUGGAUUUUGUCUUGGGAGGUCUCAUCGCCAAGAAAUUUCAUAAUGUAUAUGCAAGUACAGUGGAACCUUGACAUAAAUUCAUUUUGAGUUAA